rnacentral:rRNA from 1 species
AACUUUGCUUUGGGUGGUGAGCCUGGCUUACUGCCCAAAGGUCUAAACACAUUUUUUUAAUGUUAAAACCUUUAACCAAUAGUCAUGAAAAUUUUUAACAAAAAUUAAAAUCUUCAAAACUUUCAACAACGGAUCUCUUGGUUCUCGCAACGAUGAAGAACGCAGCGAAAUGCGAUACGUAUUGUGAAUUGCAGAUUUUCGUGAAUCAUCGAAUCUUUGAACGCACAUUGCACCCUCUGGUAUUCCAGAGGGUAUGCCUGUUUGAGCGUCAUUUCUCUCUCAAACCUUCGGGUUUGGUAUUGAGUGAUACUCUGUCAAGGGUUAACUUGAAAUAUUGACUUAGCAAGAGUGUACUAAUAAGCAGUCUUUCUGAAAUAAUGUAUUAGGUUCUUCCAACUCGUUAUAUCAGCUAGGCAGGUUUAGAAGUAUUUUAGGCUCGGCUUAACAACAAUAAACUAAAAGUUUGACCUCAAAUCAGGUAGGACUACCCGCUGAACUUAAGCA